rnacentral:tRNA from 1 species
CGCCGCCGAAGGGCUCGGCACCUCGCCGCUCGCGGUGGCGCUGGCCUGGGUCCGGGACCGGCCGGGGGUCGCCGCCCCGGUCGUCGGC